AACAGGAUUAGAUACCCUGGUAGUCCACGCCGUAAACGAUGUCGACUUGGAGGUUGUGCCCUUGAGGCGUGGCUUCCGGAGCUAACGCGUUAAGUCGACCGCCUGGGGAGUACGGCCGCAAGGUUAAAACUCAAAUGAAUUGACGGGGGCCCGCACAAGCGGUGGAGCAUGUGGUUCAAUUCGAUGCAACGCGAAGAACCUUACCUACUCUUGACAUCCAGAGAACUUAGCAGAGAUGCUUUGGUGCCUUCGGGAACUCUGAGACAGGUGCUGCAUGGCUGUCGUCAGCUCGUGUUGUGAAAUGUUGGGUUAAGUCCCGCAACGAGCGCAACCCUUAUCCUUUGUUGCCAGCGGUCCGGCCGGGAACUCAAAGGAGACUGCCAGUGAUAAACUGGAGGAAGGUGGGGAUGACGUCAAGUCAUCAUGGCCCUUACGAGUAGGGCUACACACGUGCUACAAUGGCGCAUACAAAGAGAAGCGACCUCGCGAGAGCAAGCGGACCUCAUAAAGUGCGUCGUAGUCCGGAUUGGAGUCUGCAACUCGACUCCAUGAAGUCGGAAUCGCUAGUAAUCGUGGAUCAGAAUGCCACGGUGAAUACGUUCCCGGGCCUUGUACACACCGCCCGUCACACCAUGGGAGUGGGUUGCAAAAGAAGUAGGUAGCUUAACCUUCGGGAGGGCGCUUACCACUUUGUGAUUCAUGACUGGGGUGAAGUCGUAACAAGGUAACC
rnacentral:rRNA from 1 species